CUUUCUUUGUCUACUGGCCUGUUUAUCUUGCAAGAUCUGCUCCUCUGACCACAUACUGAUGAGAUCCACAUCCACUGGACAAACAGAACUUUCUGGAAUUUCCAUUGGAUUUAAUUGGGAUGUUAGUAGACUAUUGUUGAAUAUUGCUGCUGUGCAAUCUUCAGUAGUAGAGAGUGUUUUUUGGUCACAAAAUGAUAGUUGUCUGAUUUUAAAUGACGACUUGUCACGACUCUGUACUACUUCUAGCACCACAUAGGUCCCUGAUUGGUACUCUUAGGAUGUUUAUAGGAAAGUUGUUUAAUUGGCAGUGAAAAUAAUUAACAAAAAGUGUGAUCAUGGGUGACUGUAUUGUGACUAUUUGCACUGCUAAACAAAAUAUACUUCCUGCCCAUGUUAUUAAACACAUCCAUGUUGCUGGUCAAUUUGUAGGUGUACAGUUUGGACUUUUUCCCAUGCACAAUGUGUUAAUUAUACUGUUGCUCGGGUUCCAAUCGGCCCAUUUCCAUGCAGAGUUUCAAAUGUUCCCUGCUCUCAAACACACCUGAUCCAACUUAAGUGCUUGAUAAUUAGCUCAGGAGCUAAAAAUGGUGUGUUGCCAGCAGGUAAAACUAGGCAGUCAGCCCAGAUUAGGAUUUUUCCUUAAACUCGGUAGUACUGGGGUGUACCACAUAAACUCAAAAAGGUUACUGUACAUAGCUUGUCUUCCAUCUUCAUUCACAUGUUAGUCUAGCAAAAGUUGUACCUAGGAAUACGUACAAUUAUCUACUUGCAACUAAUUACAAAAAUCUUCCAAAAUUCCCCAGUCAGUGAUAAUCUGCUUUACUUUAGUGGUCACAUCACAUAUACACAUAUUGACAGACGCACAAGGCAUAGACAAGGAGGUUUUUUUUUUUAAUACACUUUACGUUUACAAAUUUUCCAAAAAGUACAAAUCGUUAGCUUAAAUACCAAGUGUUACUUCAUUACGUACAAGAAUAUCCAGCAAUUACCCAUGAUGCAUUGCAUCCAUACAAAUAAACAGCUUUUUACAAGUCUUACAAAAUGUUAACAUACAGCUUUGCUAUGGUAAUAGAUAUUAUUAUACAGUACAGUAUAUAUUCUGCCAAGAGUUACAACUAAUUUAGAAACAGGAAGGCAUUUAGACACAAUCUGAACACAAUUCUCAAACUGGCUGAUUUUAUAUUCAAAUUCAAACGAAUGGCCGUUUUUUUUUUUGUUUGUUUGUUUUUUUUUCAUCAUUGCAGCACUCAUCUUAACAAGGCCUCGUCAUAUCAUCAAGCCCUUCUACUUCAUUUCAAAUCAGAGAACUUCUGCCAAUAAAAAUGUUCAAAUGCUACCAGAUUGUCUAGGUUUUGUUAAAGUUGUGCACUCGUUCUCUGCCGAUUUGUAUUGAGGUCGAUUCUUGUACAACACCAGUAUGGAUUCUGAGACAGUCCUGAGUUGCUAAAGAAUGUCCUAGUUAAUGUCUAGUCCUUUUGACAAACAGGAAACUCUUGGAAAUUGCAGCAAGUCUACAGGGAAAUGGUAGGGAAAAAGUCAGAAUAAACAUUCAAAGAAAACAAAAUGAAAAGUCCAAUUCUUAUGUCAGUUCAAUUUGUCUCAAGUGGCAUAUCAUCAUGGAAAAUGCGAAGCGAUAUUAAACAACCACGCUUUACCGUCCAGGUUUAUUGUCGCUUCCAUUCUAGAGCAGUGGUUCUCAAAAUGGGGUCACAGUAAUAUAGCAUAAUUUUAUUAAAGUUGUCGAAAUUGUAUUUAUUGAGUUCCUAUACUGAGUUUUCAGCCUAUUUGACUGGUCAAUUGAAUUCAUUGAAAUAAAUAAUGUCGACUUGUUCCUACGGUGAAAAGUUCAGGAAUCAAAUGCUCAAAUAAACAAUAAAUAGCUAUAAUAUUAUUGUAUCCAUUUAAAU
ensembl:lncRNA